rfam:Salmo salar isolate Sally breed double haploid chromosome ssa24, whole genome shotgun sequence.
UAAAGUCCAAUUUGUAAGUCGCUCUGGAUAAGAGCGUCUGCUAAAUGACUUAAA